rnacentral:rRNA from 1 species
AGAGUUUGAUUCUGGCUCAGGAUGAACGCUAGCUACAGGCUUAACACAUGCAAGUCGAGGGGCAGCAUUGGAGUAGCAAUACUCAGAUGGCGACCGGCGCACGGGUGAGUAACACGUAUCCAACCUGCCGCUUACUCGGGGAUAGCCUUUCGAAAGAAAGAUUAAUACCCGAUGGUAUAAAGAGUUCGCAUGUUCUCUUUAUUAAAGAAUUUCGGUAAGCGAUGGGGAUGCGUUCCAUUAGAUUGUUGGCGGGGUAACGGCCCACCAAGUCUACGAUGGAUAGGGGUUCUGAGAGGAAGGUCCCCCACAUUGGAACUGAGACACGGUCCAAACUCCUACGGGAGGCAGCAGUGAGGAAUAUUGGUCAAUGGACGAGAGUCUGAACCAGCCAAAAGUAGCGUGAAGGAUGACUGCCCUAUGGGUUGUAAACUUCUUUUAUAAGGGAAUAAAGUGAGGGACGUGUCCCUUUUUGUAUGUACCUUAUGAAUAAGGAUCGGCUAACUCCGUGCCAGCCGCCGC